rnacentral:rRNA from 1 species
AGUGAACGCUGGCGGUAGGCCUAACACAUGCAAGUCGAACGGCAGCACAGUAAGAGCUUGCUCUUACGGGUGGCGAGUGGCGGACGGGUGAGGAAUACAUCGGAAUCUACUUUUUCGUGGGGGAUAACGUAGGGAAACUUACGCUAAUACCGCAUACGACCUACGGGUGAAAGCAGGGGAUCUUCGGACCUUGCGCGAUUGAAUGAGCCGAUGUCGGAUUAGCUAGUUGGCGGGGUAAAGGCCCACCAAGGCGACGAUCCGUAGCUGGUCUGAGAGGAUGACGAGCGACACUGGGACUGAGACACGGUCCAGACACCUACGGGAGGCAGCGGUGGGGAAUAUUGGACGAUGGGCGGAAGCCUGAUCCAGCCAUGCCGGGUGGGUGAAGAAGGCCUUCGGGUUGUAAAGCCCUUUUGUUGUGGAAGAAAAGUAGCAGGUUAAAACCCGGUUGUUCUGACGGUACCCAAAGAAUAAGCACCGGCUAACUUCGUG